UGGUGGGGUGACUUGUCUACUUAAUUGCGAUAACGAACGAGACCUUAACCUGCUAAAUAGCCCGCAUUGCUCCGGCAGUGCGCUGGCUUCUUAGAGGGACUUUCGGCUCAAGCCGAAGGAAGUUUGAGGCAAUAACA
rnacentral:rRNA from 1 species